rnacentral:rRNA from 1 species
GAUGAACGCUGGCGGCGUGCCUAAUACAUGCAAGUCGAGCGAACAGACGAGAAGCUUGCUCCUCUGACGUUAGCGGCGGACGGGUGAGUAACACGUGGAUAACCUACCUAUAAGACUGGGAUAACUUCGGGAAACCGGAGCUAAUACCGGAUAAUAUAUUGAACCGCAUGGUUCAAUAGUGAAAGACGGUUUUGCUGUCACUUAUAGAUGGAUCCGCGCCGCAUUAGCUAGUUGGUAAGGUAACGGCUUACCAAGGCAACGAUGCGUAGCCGACCUGAGAGGGUGAUCGGCCACACUGGAACUGAGACACGGUCCAGACUCCUACGGGAGGCAGCAGUAGGGAAUCUUCCGCAAUGGGCGAAAGCCUGACGGAGCAACGCCGCGUGAGUGAUGAAGGUCUUCGGAUCGUAAAACUCUGUUAUUAGGGAAGAACAAAUGUGUAAGUAACUAUGCACAUCUUGACGGUACCUAAUCAGAAAGCCACGGCUAACUACGUG